AAGAGAGCCGGGAGCUCCAGAGGUCUGGCUGCUUCGUUCCGCCUCCCUUUACACCCACUCGGCUAACGGCGAGUCUAACUGACUGAACUGGAGUGGGGACUCUGGGAGUAGAAAUACCCCGAGGGCUUCCUUGCGGAGGUGCAGAAACUGCUUGAUGACUAGAAAACGGAAACUCACUGAGAUUAAGAAAUCUGUGAUUGCAACCAGACAGCUAGAAAGUGCUGGAACUGGGAUCUGAAGUACAUUUGCAAGUGACAAGGAAUCAAAAUGGCGUCCUGGAAAGAAGGAAAAGAGCCAUGAGCUGACAGGCUGUUCGCCAUCAGUUUUUCCAUUUCCCAGCUGUGCUGCCCUGGGCAUAUUGCUAACCUAACAGAGGUUUUUUUUUUUCUCUGCAAAAUGGCAAUAACUACUUCCUAUGUUGAAUCAACUAAGAUAUAAAACUCCAGAAAAACAUAUACUUCUGCUUUAUUGACUAUGCUAAUACCUUUGUGUGGAUCACAACAAACUGUGGAAAAUUCUUAAAGACAUGGGAAUACCAGACCUCCUGA